rnacentral:lncRNA from 1 species
GCCGAGGAUAAUCAGGAAAAAGGCAAAAUUAUUGAUUAGUACUUGCAAUUCAACUUGUCUGUUAAUUUAAUCAAGUAAGUUCAUAUAGUGUGUCCUGUUUAAAUUGUUUUGUAUUUGAAAUCAUGAUUAUAUAUAUGUAUAAUUGAAAUUUGGAUUGUUUACGGUUUGGUACAAAAUGUGAUAUUUGUAUUGAAUUGUAAAUAAAUGAAUAUGAACUUAUAUGUUGGAAUUACCCUGAUGAAGUUAGUAAAGGCCUUCUACACAUGGAUACAGAUUAA